AUCACUACUUUUUUGUACUUCUAGAAAGCAUUUCAAGAAAAACAGAAGAGGUGUCAACAACAUACAAGUGUUAGGAGAGGGGGGCUGAAAGAGGUGAAGCCGCUACGUGAGCAAUUCAUAAAGGCUACCAAGGACUGUAAAGACAAUUAUUGCAUCAUUUCUUCCGAUGAAGGAAGUGAACUUGAUAACUAGCCGUGUUUUUAAAUAAACUCGUGUCAGAACUCUUUUGGAAGAGUUGACACUUAGUUGUCUCUUCAACCUCUGUUAUUCUGAUGACUGAAGAAAGAACUUGAACCUAUGUUAUAUGAUACAAGCACAACUUGAGCUACAGUAAACUACAUGACAGUGUUUUGAUAAUUCUUGUAUAAAUCAGUAUAGCUCCUCUGUCAUUUGUCUGUUAAAUGCCAGACCUUGUUUCUAUGAUCUGUUGAAUGAAUCCUAGACACUUCUGUGAGAAAGCAGGGAUUGCAUAGUUAUGUACACGGUCAAUUA
rnacentral:lncRNA from 1 species